CACGUAGGGGGCAAGCGUUGUCCGGAUUUAUUGGGCGUAAAGAGCUCGUAGGUGGUUCGGUACGUCGGGUGUUAAACCCCCAGGCUCAACCUGGGGACGCCACUCGAUACUGCUGUGACUAGAGUCCGGUAGGGGAGCGUGGAAUUCCUGGUGUAGCGGUGAAAUGCGCAGAUAUCAGGAGGAACACCAGCGGCGAAGGCGGCGCUCUGGGCCGGUACUGACACUGAGGAGCGAAAGCGUGGGUAGCAAACAGG
rnacentral:rRNA from 1 species